GGCUCAGGAUGAACGCUAGCGACAGGCCUAACACAUGCAAGUCGAGCGGCAGCACCUCGGGUGGCGAGCGGCGCACGGGUGAGUAACGCGUAUGUAACCUGCCCAUGAGUGGGGGAUAGCCCGGUGAAAACCGGAUUAAUACCCCAUGACACCAUUGUCUGACAUCAUUUAAUGGUUAAAGAUUCAUUGCUCAUGGAUGGACAUGCGUUGGAUUAGCUAGUCGGCGGGGCAACGGCCCACCGAGGCUACGAUCCAUAGGGGCUCUGAGAGGAAGGUCCCCCACAUUGGUACUGAGACACGGACCAAACUCCUACGGGAGGCAGCAGUGAGGAAUAUUGGUCAAUGGGCGGAAGCCUGAACCAGCCAAGUCGCGUGAAGGAUGAAGGUAUUAUGUUAAUUGUAAACUUCUUUAGCUGUGGAGAAAUAAGGUGCAUGCAUGCACCGAUGCUAGUACACAGAGAAUAAGGAUCGGCUAACUCCGUGCCAGCAGCAGC
rnacentral:rRNA from 1 species